UCUGCAACAAGAAGCAGUGCUGAAUAUCUGCACUGUGCAAAUCUUGACUUUUUGCCUGUGAUUGCCCACUAGCAUUUUCCUACAGCUGGACCAAGCAUGUAGCACAAAUGAGAUGGUGUCCAGCUGUGGCAAUUCAGCCUUUAAAUGUGUUACCUAGAUUCUUUUGCUCUGUUAGCAGUUUCUUUAGUUAAAGAACAAAAGGUCUUAUCCUGAGAGGUCCUAAAUUUGCCCACUGAACUGGGUUCAAAACAAUUUAGAAGAUUCUCCAAGAUUCUCUCAUAUUGCCUCAGUAAUGAAUGUGACACUCCUGUUGGUACAAUUCGGCAUUGCUGUUGGCUUUUUUCAACAAGAGCACACUCAUGGCUCAUACUUGUCUCCUGGUCUGAUGUAAGCCCCAGGAGUACAGUGAAAUGCAACUUACAGUUUGUCUUCGAUCUGAAGAAUGACAUGGAGAACAGCAAUCUGAAAAUAAGAAAAGUGGCUGAAUCCUGCAAUCCUUUUGUCUUCAGCAGAACUGCCCAUGCAAGGGGUUGCAAGAUCAGAACCCAAAAGUAUUUAUCUGGCAUUGAAAUGGCUCUUUUAUUGAAAUCAGUUCAGAUGCUCACAUUUGAUACUGUAGACUCAUGCAGCAAGGAAAUGACUUAAAUGUUUGGAAGUCAACUGCCACCAAUUUCAUGCGACUCUGAGUUCCCAUUGUUUAGUUUCUCUACUUUAGUUUUGUCAAAAAAAACCCCAAAAUUCUCAAGAUAUUUCUCUAUCACAAAAUAAAGCCUUAAUUUACUAAUCUUUGGUUAGCAAGGCAUUCCUAUCCUGGUUUGAAACAUGCUGUAGAUAGUGCUGCUGCAAAUAGCUCGAUACAUGAAAAGGCUAAUAUCUGCCUCAGAAUAUAUAGGGUUUCCAUCCAUCUGAGAACCCAUUACUAUAACUUGGAUGCAAAAAUCCUUUUUAAAAAAUUGCACUUAAGCUAUUCUAGCUUAAUUACACUCCCCCCCCCCCCCCCACCUCUGUAUUUUCUCUGGCUCUUUGUUAUAGUUUAAAUCCUCAUAAGAAAUUGGGGGUCUGAUCCUGUACUUUUUUUGUACCUCAAAAAAUUCCACUGAUGUAAACAGUCUUGGGUGUGCAAUGAAUGGAGAAUUACAGCUCUUUGUGUUAGAAACUUCAGUGAGAUCUGAGAUCUAAAGAUAGAAUUGUCUUUUAUAUGUAUUCUCUGGCACAGAAAGAAGUGAUUGACGAGGACAAGUACGGUAUAUGAAAGAAUAGUUAAAACACAGACACACUGACGUUAUAAAACAGUGUCUCAUCAGAUGACUUGGUGUUUUGAUUAUGUGGCUACAGCAGGUCUAUAAUUUAAAUGCCAUUAAUGGGACAAAAAAGCAAUAGCAUGGAGACAAGGAUACUGUAAAAUCUUUGGGUCUGUACUUACAAUGCAGAUAAAAUAGUUCUUUUGAACUUGUCGUGCCAAAUGUUGUCCACAGAUACUACUCUUCAAUAAGGAAAACUAUUUUUUUUUCCCUCCCAGUACAGACAGACUUUUUCUGUUUAGGCUGCUUGGUGUGUACCAUUACAAGGAUCCAAGGCAAAGGGAAGCUGCUUAUAUUUUGACUAAUCCAUAUCCAGUUAGCACAUUCAGUAUAGAAUUCACUAUUGUGAAUAGUCAUGACUGUGUGUUCUUUGUACUGUAGCCUUUUGAAUAUGCUUCUUUAUACUUUCAUUAAACUAGCACACAAAGCUAAUUUUACAAGAAUCUAUUGGUGCUCAGCUGUAACAGAAUUACACAGAGUCCUAUGACUGCAUCCCAGUUAUAAUAUCUCAUUUGUUUCCACCAGGCUGUUGUAAUACCCUUUCUGCUGUUUAACUUUUUUUUUUUUUUUUUUGUCCUUUUCAAAUUAUAGCUGGAAUAUGUUUUGUUCAUUGGACUUAGCUGGGGAGCUGCACACAUUUCCUUAUCCUCAUGGAAACCAGACAUUUUAAUGCACCUCAGAGUUAUAUAUGUUGUAAUUUGUUUGCCAAAUUGGAAUGAUUCUUUCCAGAAACAAGCCCUGAUAAUUGAAUGCCUCAUGAAACAUGUACAGUAUUUUAGCUGGGAACUGCUUUUAAGUGCAUAUUUCAAAAGGGAAAAAGAAAUGUUGUGUAAGUUAAACUUGCCUAAGUGUUUCAAGUUUUCUAGUUGGAAAUUAUGAUAAUAAAUGCAUUAUUCCCUUGUACUGUGCAAACCCAAACAAAAGAAUGCAGCCUUUGUAAGCUGCAGUUACUCAGGCCACUUUUUUGUAUACUGGCUUAUUGUAUAUAAGUCUGUUACCAAACCAGGUAAGUGAUUGUUGCUAUUAAAAUUUCCCCUUCCCGUUUACUUAAAUAUAUGUAUACUUUUAAAAAUAUUCAUGCUGUGCUCUCAUGACUUAACUCUUGCUUCUACUAGAGACGAACCAAAGUCAAAUAUUAAUUAUUGUAAAAAUGGUUUUGAAGAAGUUGCCUUUACAUGAUCCAGCCCCAAAUUCUGAGUAGUGAAUUGCGUGUCUGCAUGCGCACGAAUGCGUGCCUGCACAUACAAAUGCAUGAUCCUCUUUCCUUCAUUAAAUCAGAUAUAAAAAAUCAAUUCCUGUUUCCCUGAUGUCAUGCGAUUUAAUUAAAUUAUUUAUUUAUAACUGAACUCCAGGGAACUAAGGUUACCACACUUAAUUUAAAAAAUAAAUAAACUGCUAUUCUAAAGAAAAGUUGUUCUUUGCUGUCCACAGCUAUGGGAGAUCAUCCCUCAAAACUGAAAUGUUGACUAUUUCCACAGCAGCCUCUUCUACACACCUGUAUAACAACUCAAUGUCUCUUAAUCUUAUUAUGUGUAUUAGAAAGUGGCAGCAUUCAAACAUUUGUAAAUGCUUUGAUUAUCAGAGGAUUCUUAAUCAGAGUAGUCAAUAAAAUGAA